UUUGGAUCAAGAUGUAGGACUCUCAGCUCCGUUCCCAGCAAAAUGUCUGCCUCUGAACUGGGAAGCCAGCUGACAUGCUUUGAGACAUUGAAGUGGUCUCGUGGACAAUCCUAUGGUGAAGGGAUGAUGACUAAAUGCUCCUGCCACAAGCAAAGCUGACCUGCCAUAUUGGAAGAGACCCAUGGACUCCAGUCAAGACUUAAGAUGACUGUAGCCCCAGCAAACUUAUAAAAGACUCCAAGCUGGAGCCAUCCAGUCAAGACAUUCCUGACAGACAGAAACUGCGAGAGUUAUUUGUUUGUGUAUUUAUAUACUUAUUUGUUUUGUUUUUUAAUUUUUGAAUGCUGAAGCUCAAACUCAUCAUCUUGUGCAAGUUACUCUACACUGACUUACAGCCAGUCUCUACAUCUACUACUGUUUCUGUUUUUUGAUACUGUUUGUUACACAGCAGUAGCUGACUAAUACAGAGAGCUUUGGGGAGGAUAAGA